AUUCGAACCUUACUAAACUACAGGAACGUCUUCGAAGGAGACAUCGAAGAUCUCUAUUCAAGGAACAACAUUAUCAAUAUUUCCAUCAUAGCUUCCAGAGGGAAGCAGACAAAUUCAAGACACCAAUAUUUGUUGAAGUGAAACCUGUGAUUUGUGAAAUCGACUCCGGCUCUGGGUUUUCGUUCUUUCCCAAGGAUAUAUUCGAAAAUUUUCAAUUAUUAACGCCACUGCAGAAAACAUCAAUGCGUUUUCGCUCCUUCCCUCAAAAUGUUUUUGCUAGAGAUGAAAAAGUUUGCGUAAAUAUCGAAUAUAAUGGCAAACAUAUUCGACUAAAUUUACAUCGUUCCCUACUCUUGGAGCAGCAGCGUCUUUUCGUUACGCUAGAAAACGAUGUCCACAGAUAUGUAUACAAACGAAACAGGUUAUGCACUGUUUUAUUUCAUAAAUUCUCUCCCAACAGAAAGUUAUACAUAGUUUGCAAAACGCAGUCAUAAAGAUCUUUGAUUUCUGCUCACUGUUAGUUGUUGUAUGUACGCAAGAUAUUUGUAGUUGUAUGGCUGGUACUUUGCCUGUUCGAAUUGAACAAAACUAUACAUUCAAUUCAAUACGCUGACAUCAAAUCGAAUGAAAUCGAAGAAGAAUUUGUGGACUUAUUUCAAGAAAAAAUCGGACAAGUACUAAAAUAUCAAGAGAAAUUUCUUUUGUCUUAAAAGACCGGGUUGUGAAAGAACUGAACACUCUCGAAAAAGAAGGUUGAAAAGGUUGAAUCGAGCGAUUUGGGAUCACUAUUAGUUGUCAUUCCAAAACCCGACGGAGGAGUCAGGCUGUGUAGACUACAAGGUAGGUGUGAAUGAAAUAUUACCACGAGGACACUACCUCAUCAGGAAGAUCAACGACGUCCCGGACAGCUUAGGCAAUUCGACUUUGUCGAUUCGACUUAUAUAAGGCAAAUUUACAUGUCUCAUUGAACGAAAAAUCGAGUGAAAUUCAAACCAUUUCAACACAUCGAGGAAAGGCGAGGAUCGAGUUAAGCGGAUGUUUCGCAUGUUGUUGGUGCAUGGUCAUAUACACAACCUUACAUUUUUAUUUUUCCAACGAAGAAUUCAAUUUCUAGGAUAUGUAGGAUGGUCCAGCAGGAGCGUUUUACAAAUACUCUGACAACGGUUGGAUUAAUCAGAAUCUUUUUCUUCAAUGGUUGGUGCAUAUUACACAGCAUGCUAAGCCAUCUGCAGAUGAACCCAUAUUUUUAAUACUGGACAACCAUGCUAGUCACAUUUCUCUUUCCGUCUACGAAUAUUGUAAGUCCAAUGACAUUCAUAUGUUGUCUCUGCCACUACACACAUCACACAGAAUACAACCCUUGGACGUUCCUUUCUUUGGUCCGCUCAAAAUGGCUUACAAAAAAGAGUGUGACUUAUUUUUAAAACGCCAUCCUGCAGAAAAGACAAUCCUCUAUGACAGUGGUUCCUAACCUGGGGGUAAUUACCCCCGCAGGGGUAAAACGAAGAUUCUAGGGGGGUAAUCCGGGAUGGCACGAAAUAGUAUUAAAAUAGCAAUAAACAAAAUAAUAGUACGGUAAAUGGUAGCAUGGCGCUAUUUAUAUAUUAUAUAAAUUUAUAUAUUACUUUACUAGUUACGUAAACGUGCAAUUUCUUAUAUAAUAAACAUAUUUUCGUUCGAA